rnacentral:rRNA from 1 species
UUGCCAGCCCGCUCAGAAACUCAAAGGAAUUGACGGGGCCCGCACAAGCGGUGGAGCAUGUGGUUUAAUUCGAUGAUACGCGAGGAACCUUACCUGGGCUCAAAUGUAUGUUGACGUAUUCUGAAAGGGAUACUUCUUCGGACAAUAUACAAGGUGCUGCAUGGUUGUCGUCAGCUCGUGCCGUGAGGUGUCGGGUUAAGUCCCAUAACGAGCGCAACCCCUAUCAUUAGUUGCCAUCAGGUCAAGCUGGGGACUCUAAUGAAACUGCCUACGCAAGUAGUGAGGAAGGUGGGGAUGACGUCAAAUCAGCACGGCCCUUACGUCCAGGGCUACACACGUGCUACAAUGGCCGGUACAAAGGGCAGCUACCUGGUGACAGGAUGCUAAUCUCAAAAGCCGGUCCCAGUACGGAUUGGAGUCUGCAACCCGACUCCAUGAAGUUGGAAUCGCUAGUAAUCGCGCAUCAGCAUGGCGCGGUGAAUACGUUCCCGGGCCUU